AAAAAGGCAAACAUUGGUUUUGCGUGUCUAACUUUGACUGUCCGUCUUAUAUAAAAAAAUUUUAUAAUUCGUAUUUUCAUUGUUGUUAGAUGAUAAAACAUGAUAAAUAUUUUAUGCGUGACUUGUCUUUUUAAUUUUUUUCGUAAUUUUUUCAAAUAAGACGAACGAUCAAACGUUGGACACGGAAACCAAGGUUUGUUUUUUUU
rfam:Oryza nivara chromosome 2, whole genome shotgun sequence.